AGAGUUUGAUCAUGGCUCAGAACGAACGCUGGCGGCAGGCUUAACACAUGCAAGUCGAACGCUCGUAGCAAUACGGGAGUGGCAGACGGGUGAGUAACGCGUGGGAACAUACCCUCCGGUUCGGAAUAGCUCAGGGAAACUUGGAUUAAUACCGGAUACGGCUGAGAGGCGAAAGAUUUAUCGCCGGAGGAUUGGCCCGCGUUCGAUUAGCUUGUUGGUGAGGUAACGGCUCACCAAGGCGAUGAUCGAUAGCUGGUCUGAGAGGAUGAUCAGCCACAUUGGGACUGAGACACGGCCCAAACUCCUACGGGAGGCAGCAGUGGGGAAUAUUGGACAAUGGGCGCAAGCCUGAUCCAGCCAUGCCGCGUGAGUGAUGACGGCCUUAGGGUUGUAAAGCUCUUUCGCUCGGGACGAUAAUGACGGUACCGAGAUAAGAAGCCCCGGCUAACUUCGUGCCAGCAGCCGCGGUAAUACGAAGGGGGCUAGCGUUGUUCGGAAUUACUGGGCGUAAAGCGCGUGUAGGCGGGUCUUUAAGUCAGGGGUGAAAUGCCAAGGCUCAACCUUGGAACUGCCUUUGAUACUGGAGACCUUGAGUCCGGGAGAGGUGAGUGGAAUUGCGAGUGUAGAGGUGAAAUUCGUAGAUAUUCGCAAGAACACCAGUGGCGAAGGCGGCUCACUGGCCCGGAACUGACGCUGAGACGCGAAAGCGUGGGGAGCAAACAGGAUUAGAUACCCCCGUAGUCC
rnacentral:rRNA from 1 species